UUGUUCUUCGAGAUAACGUCGGACCUUGAGCUAGCGCCGCCCGCACCCACCUGACGGCUGCUCGCUACGUUUUGUUAGCC
rnacentral:sRNA from 1 species